rnacentral:rRNA from 1 species
CUAACAGGGAACGUGAGCUGGGUUUAGACCGUCGUGAGACAGGUUAGUUUUACCCUACUGACGAAACGCUGUCGCAAUGGUAAUUCAGGUCAGUACGAGAGGAACUCCUGAUUCACAUAAUUGGCAUAGCUGUCGCCUGAAAAGACGAUGCAGCGAAGCUAACAUGUGCUUGGAAUAUGCCUGAACGCCUCUAAGGCAGAAUCCGCUCCAGAACGCGAGAGCUUUUUAGUCUGGCAACGGCAACAGACGUAUAGAAAUAGCCGCGCAAGCGGUCUGAAUCAUUUCACGGUGUGGCGGGGCGGCGGAAGCGCGCGCCUCGAAACCCGUCCAUGACAAUUUAAUGCUGGCCAGACACAAACCGCUCCAAGACGAGGGGACGCUGACCGCGUCGUGUAAGCGGCAGAGACAUCUUUGUUAUGUCGAUCCGCUAAGCG